GUCCUCCCAAAGAGGCACUGUUACACUGCUAUAAGUAGGGGUAAUGGAUAUCUUAUUUUUUUACUUUAACAGGUUGUUGUUGUUAUGACUUAUGACUUAUCCUAAGUCGUGUCCUACUCUGUGACCCCAUGGACUGAAGCACACCAGGCUUCCCUGUCCUUCACAAUCUCCCAGAGUUUGCUCAAAUUCAUGUCCAUAGAUUUGGUGCUGCCAUCCAACCAUCUCAUUCUCUGUUGCCCUCUUCUUCUCCUGCCCUCAGUCUUUCCCAGAAUCAGGGUCUUUUCCAAUGAGCUGGGUCUUCGCAUCAGUUCAAGUCGGACGCAACUGAAGCGGCCAGGCACACACCCACACGCAACUGGGGUACAGGGCUUCUGGGAAGCACGCCCACUUCACAGAGUAGAAAACUAAGACCCAGAAAGAUGAAUGGACUCGCCUGCAGUCUCAGAAUCAGUGGGAACUGAAGGCUGAGGUCUGACCUCUCCAGCUUCAGUUGAUUUAGAACUUGGCAGUGAGAUAGGGAUAUGGAAGUCAGAGGAUGGCAGGGGGCAAAGCCUCAUAGCCAGCACCUUCACUGGAACCCUACUAUGCACCUGGCCCAGGAGAUACAUUCUCCUACUUUAUUCUCACGCAAUGGCCCUGAGAGGAGAGGUUCCUGCGCCUCGUGAUGCAUACGAGGAAACUGGGCAUCGAAGAAGCUCUGUGGGUUACAUAAUCCCCUUGGCUGGAAAGUGAAAGAUCAGGACUCCAGCAGGUUCUCCCAUUGACUGUGAAAUUCAUACUCACUCUCCCUCACCGGUCUAGCUGGGAGGAAACAAGGCAGCCACUCAGACUGGAUCUCAAGCUCUGCCCACCUCUUACCACCCGUGUGAUUUGGUUAAUGAUCCUAUCUCUCUGAGCCUCCAUUCCUUCACCUGGGGAGCUGGGGUAAUAUCUUGUUCCUUGAGUGAUUGUGGAAGGUCAGAGGAGACAGCGGAUGUUCAAGACUCCAGCACAGACCUUGGGGUACAGCGUUUGGAAUUGGCUUCUCCUUUCCUUCUCCCCUUUAUUUGUUAACAAUCCAAACUGACAGAACUCAGCGUGAGAGAACUGAUUGUUUAUGUUUGGGGGCAUUUCCUAGACUUGGGAUAAGAAAAGUAUUGCUCUGU
ensembl:lncRNA